rnacentral:rRNA from 1 species
CCUACGGGAGGCAGCAGUGAGGAAUAUUGGUCAAUGGCCGGAAGGCUGAACCAGCCAAGCCGCGUGAAGGACGAAGGUGCCAAGCAUUUUAAACUUCUUUUGUCAAGGGACAAAAUCAGGCUCGAGAGCCUGACCGAGGGUACUUGAAGAAAAAGCAUCGGCUAACUCCGUGCCAGCAGCCGCGGUAAUACGGAGGAUGCGAGCGUUGUCCGGAUUUAUUGGGUUUAAAGGGUGCGUAGGCGGGCUGUUAAGUCAGCGGUAAAAGCCCGGGGCUCAACCCCGGCGAGCCGUGGAAACUGGCUGUCUUGAGAUGUCGAGAGGUAUGCGGAAUGCGCAGUGUAGCGGUGAAAUGCUUAGAUAUUGCGCAGAACUCCGAUUGCGAAGGCAGCAUACCGGCGGCGAUCUGACGCUGAGGCACGAAAGCGUGGGUAUCGAACAGGAUUAGAUACCCCUGUAGUC